UCAAUUUUUUUUUUCAAAUUUCGAGUUCGAAUUGAGUUGAGUUUUUGAAUUCGAAUAACUCGAAUAAUUCGAAUAUCAAACUAUAAUAUUUUAUAUUUUUACCCCAAACUCCCAAACCUUUUUACUUUUCCCUCAAAAGUUUUACUCCUUCCCACUUUCCUCCCAAAACUUUUACUCCUGUCUCCUCCCAACCCCCCAAUCUACCCAAAAUUCAUUUCCCACCAAAAUUAUACUCUCCCAUUUACUUUUUCUCAAAAUUUUACUCCCUCCCACUUUUUCCCUAAAAUUUUUAUUCCCUUCUCAUCCCACCUCUCAUCUACCCUAAACCCUCCCCCCUCCAAUUUUUUUUUAAUAUUUUCCCUCCAAAAUUUUACUCCCCCUAUUUACUUUCUCUCAAACUUUUAUUCCCCAAAACCUUUUAUUUUCCCCCUAAACUUUUACUUCUCAC
rnacentral:lncRNA from 1 species